UCCUGUCAUGAAUCAAGGAUCAUGAAUCUUUCUUCAUCGUUCCGCCAUCUUUGUUUAUCUAAUCUAAUCAAAUCGCGACGUGAGUCGAAUGUCGAAUUUCUGCUGUUCUAGUUUUUAUUCCUUUUUGCGAGUGUUUUUGUGUAAUUUUUCGAGUGAAAUAGUGACAAAUAUGGAUUUUACGUGAAUUCAAUAUCACACUGUUAAUGAGGUUCAGAACGACCAAUCUCAGGAUAAUUACUAUACAGCCAGUCUCUUUGCCGUUGUUCCACUCAUCACCUCUUAUCACUUUUAAUGGAACUUCUGUGUUUUAGAAACAUGAAGCAUCAUCAUCGAGCUAGAUGGGAAAUCAUCAUCCAGCCUUCGAAGAUUCCAGAGCCAUGGCAAUCAACUUUAGAACUAGCGAAGCUAUCAAUAGCUGGCUCAUUCGACCACUCAUCAGUCUCGGUAGUUUCCGGCGACAAAUUAACCCUAUCGUCUAUCAGCGUAUUAAUUAUCUACUUGACAAAAUACUGAAAUACUUACGAUAUCUGUCCAUAGCAUAGGAACUACAAGAUUGGAAAACCUUUCGCAAUGUAACAUCGAACUGACGUCUUGCAAAGCGAUAUUGAUUUGCAUUUUAACGGAUACUUUGGUUGGUGAUCCAGUUUGCUGAAAGAAACAAACACGAAAAUGAGUUUCAAUCCCUGAUACAAGAUUUUAUGUAGAUGUUGAAGGAUCGUCUGUAUUGAUACUUACAGGAUUGACAUAGAAAUACGUUUCGUGCGAUUCUGGGUCCGGUGUACAACCAUCGACUUCUUCACGUAGAGUUGGAUCAGCCAUGUAGAAGUGUGGAUAUGAUAAGGCGAUUGGAAAACCUGAAAUUGAAUACAGAAUUAUGAAAAAUCCAUUCCUCUAGCUUCUGGAUUCUAAUCUAAUUAUAAUUCGAUUCAUCUAUCGCUUGGCUGUAAUGAUUCUAUAUUUUAGAAGUAUACCAAAUGAACGAACAUCUACGCAUAGUCCAGUUCGUACUGUAACGUAAUGAUUAUAUAUCAACGGUACCAAGAGAUAUACAACAGAAACACUCCAUCUAUCCAGAAACCAUUACGUAAAAACUGUAGGCUUUGUAAACUUGACUCAAUUAAACUGGCGAACAAAGUUUGAUUGAAUUAUAUACCAAAGCUUUCUAGUCCUUUCCACAUUCAUAUUGUGGGUAAAAUUUAGUUACGAUUUCGUAAGCUAUAUGUACGUUGACGACCUUCGAACCUAACAAGGUC